rnacentral:rRNA from 1 species
GAUGAACGCUGGCGGCGUGCCUAAUACAUGCAAGUAGAACGCUGAAGCUUGGUGCUUGCACCGAGCGGAUGAGUUGCGAACGGGUGAGUAACGCGUAGGUAACCUGCCUCUUAGCGGGGGAUAACUAUUGGAAACGAUAGCUAAUACCGCAUAAAAGUCGAUAUCGCAUGAUAUUGAUUUGAAAGGUGCAAAUGCAUCACUAAGAGAUGGACCUGCGUUGUAUUAGCUAGUUGGUGAGGUAACGGCUCACCAAGGCGACGAUACAUAGCCGACCUGAGAGGGUGAUCGGCCACACUGGGACUGAGACACGGCCCAGACUCCUACGGGAGGCAGCAGUAGGGAAUCUUCGGCAAUGGGGGCAACCCUGACCGAGCAACGCCGCGUGAGUGAAGAAGGUUUUCGGAUCGUAAAGCCCUGUUGUAAGAGAAGAACGAGUGUGAGAGUGGAAAGUUCACACUGUGACGGUAACUUACCAGAAAGGGACGGCUAACUACGUG